UUAAGUUAUUAAGGGCGCACGGUGGAUGCCUUGGCACUAGAAGCCGAUGAAGGACGUUACUAACGACGAUAUGCUUUGGGGAGCUGUAAGUAAGCUUUGAUCCAGAGAUUUCCGAAUGGGGAAACCCAGCAUGAGUUAUGUCAUGUUAUCGAUAUGUGAAUACAUAGCAUAUCAGAAGGCACACCCGGAGAACUGAAACAUCUUAGUACCCGGAGGAAGAGAAAGAAAAUUCGAUUCCCUUAGUAGCGGCGAGCGAAACGGGAAGAGCCCAAACCAACAAGCUUGCUUGUUGGGGUUGUAGGACACUCUAUACGGAGUUACAAAGGACGACAUUAGACGAAUCAUCUGGAAAGAUGAAUCAAAGAAGGUAAUAAUCCUGUAGUCGAAAAUGUUGUCUCUCUUGAGUGGAUCCUGAGUACGACGGAGCACGUGAAAUUCCGUCGGAAUCUGGGAGGACCAUCUCCUAAGGCUAAAUACUCUCUAGUGACCGAUAGUGAACCAGUACCGUGAGGGAAAGGUGAAAAGCACCCCGGAAGGGGAGUGAAAUAGAACCUGAAACCGUGUGCUUACAAGUAGUCAGAGCCCGUUAAUGGGUGAUGGCGUGCCUUUUGUAGAAUGAACCGGCGAGUUACGAUUUGAUGCAAGGUUAAGCAGUAAAUGUGGAGCCGUAGCGAAAGCGAGUCUGAAUAGGGCGUUUAGUAUUUGGUCGUAGACCCGAAACCAGGUGAUCUACCCUUGGUCAGGUUGAAGUUCAGGUAACACUGAAUGGAGGACCGAACCGACUUACGUUGAAAAGUGAGCGGAUGAACUGAGGGUAGCGGAGAAAUUCCAAUCGAACCUGGAGAUAGCUGGUUCUCUCCGAAAUAGCUUUAGGGCUAGCCUCAAGUGAUGAUUAUUGGAGGUAGAGCACUGUUUGGACGAGGGGCCCCUCUCGGGUUACCGAAUUCAGACAAACUCCGAAUGCCAAUUAAUUUAACUUGGGAGUCAGAACAUGGGUGAUAAGGUCCGUGUUCGAAAGGGAAACAGCCCAGACCACCAGCUAAGGUCCCAAAAUAUAUGUUAAGUGGAAAAGGAUGUGGCGUUGCCCAGACAACUAGGAUGUUGGCUUAGAAGCAGCCAUCAUUUAAAGAGUGCGUAAUAGCUCACUAGUCGAGUGACACUGCGCCGAAAAUGUACCGGGGCUAAACAUAUUACCGAAGCUGUGGAUUGUCCUUUGGACAAUGGUAGGAGAGCGUUCUAAGGGCGUUGAAGCAUGAUCGUAAGGACAUGUGGAGCGCUUAGAAGUGAGAAUGCCGGUGUGAGUAGCGAAAGACGGGUGAGAAUCCCGUCCACCGAUUGACUAAGGUUUCCAGAGGAAGGCUCGUCCGCUCUGGGUUAGUCGGGUCCUAAGCUGAGGCCGACAGGCGUAGGCGAUGGAUAACAGGUUGAUAUUCCUGUACCACCUAUAAUCGUUUUAAUCGAUGGGGGGGACGCAGUAGGAUAGGCGAAGCGUGCGAUUGGAUUGCACGUCUAAGCAGUAAGGCUGAGUAUUAGGCAAAUCCGGUACUCGUUAAGGCUGAGCUGUGAUGGGGAGAAGACAUUGUGUCUUCGAGUCGUUGAUUUCACACUGCCGAGAAAAGCCUCUAGAUAGAAAAUAGGUGCCCGUACCGCAAACCGACACAGGUAGUCAAGAUGAGAAUUCUAAGGUGAGCGAGCGAACUCUCGUUAAGGAACUCGGCAAAAUGACCCCGUAACUUCGGGAGAAGGGGUGCUCUUUAGGGUUAACGCCCAGAAGAGCCGCAGUGAAUAGGCCCAAGCGACUGUUUAUCAAAAACACAGGUCUCUGCUAAACCGUAAGGUGAUGUAUAGGGGCUGACGCCUGCCCGGUGCUGGAAGGUUAAGAGGAGUGGUUAGCUUCUGCGAAGCUACGAAUCGAAGCCCCAGUAAACGGCGGCCGUAACUAUAACGGUCCUAAGGUAGCGAAAUUCCUUGUCGGGUAAGUUCCGACCCGCACGAAAGGCGUAACGAUUUGGGCACUGUCUCAACGAGAGACUCGGUGAAAUCAUAGUACCUGUGAAGAUGCAGGUUACCCGCGACAGGACGGAAAGACCCCGUGGAGCUUUACUGUAGCCUGAUAUUGAAAUUCGGCACAGCUUGUACAGGAUAGGUAGGAGCCUUUGAAACGUGAGCGCUAGCUUACGUGGAGGCGCUGGUGGGAUACUACCCUAGCUGUGUUGGCUUUCUAACCCGCACCACUUAUCGUGGUGGGAGACAGUGUCAAGCGGGCAGUUUGACUGGGGCGGUCGCCUCCUAAAAGGUAACGGAGGCGCUCAAAGGUUCCCUCAGAAUGGUUGGAAAUCAUUCAUAGAGUGCAAAGGCAUAAGGGAGCUUGACUGCGAGACCUACAAGUCGAGCAGGGUCGAAAGACGGACUUAGUGAUCCGGUGGUUCCGCAUGGAAGGGCCAUCGCUCAACGGAUAAAAGCUACCCCGGGGAUAACAGGCUUAUCUCCCCCAAGAGUUCACAUCGACGGGGAGGUUUGGCACCUCGAUGUCGGCUCAUCGCAUCCUGGGGCUGUAGUCGGUCCCAAGGGUUGGGCUGUUCGCCCAUUAAAGCGGUACGCGAGCUGGGUUCAGAACGUCGUGAGACAGUUCGGUCCCUAUCCGUCGUGGGCGUAGGAAAUUUGAGAGGAGCUGUCCUUAGUACGAGAGGACCGGGAUGGACAUACCUCUGGUGUACCAGUUGUCGUGCCAACGGCAUAGCUGGGUAGCUAUGUGUGGACGGGAUAAGUGCUGAAAGCAUCUAAGCAUGAAGCCCCCCUCAAGAUGAGAUUUCCCAACUUCGGUUAUAAGAUCCCUCAAAGAUGAUGAGGUUAAUAGGUUCGAGGUGGAAGCAUGGUGACAUGUGGAGCUGACGAAUACUAAUCGAUCGAAGACUUAAUCAA
rnacentral:rRNA from 1 species